GUGCUAACUUUGGAAGCAUAUUAAAACUGGAACAAUACAAAGAUUAGCAUGGCCCCUGCAACAAGAAGACAUAAUAUAAGUAGCUAACAGAAUUCUU
rnacentral:snRNA from 1 species